GCAUCCUUUUUUCCUUUCGAACCACGGGGGUCUUAGGGGAGGCAGCAGUAGUGAAUUUUGGACAAUGGCCGAAAGCCUGAUGCAGCCAUGCCGUGUUAGUGAUGAAAGCAUAGUCUUUAAAGACGCCUCAGCACUCAUGCUAAGACCUAG
rnacentral:rRNA from 1 species